GCGGCAGUAUGGAAGAUUGUUGUCGUGGAUGCAGACUUUAAGACUUUAGAUUCGCCAAGUCGGAUGUGAAAGCAGCUGGAAAAGACUCUGCGAAAUGCAAAGCACAGCCGACUUUGAGCCUCUCCCACAACCUCGUCGCACUGCAAAAAGGAGGGAGAAUAAUUGGAAUAAAAAAUGUGCUAAUAAUGAAGAACAUUCAUGAUAGAGAGACGGCAAGUAACUGACCGGAACGGAAUCAUGGUUCAAGAGUUAUGGAACAAAAUAACUUUUCAGUGCCGUCGAUGGCUCAACAGCCACGAUGUCGGGUUGCCUCCGGCUCAAUGGAUUCUCGUGAGUUCGUUACACUGUUUUGCCUCCAUUUGAAAGCACCAUAUUAUUACAAAUACUCCAUUCAA